GACGAACCGUGCGACCGUUGUUCGGAAUCACUGGGCUUAAAGGGCGCGUAGGCGGCUUGUCAAGUCAGGGGUGAAAUCUUUCGGCUUAACCGGAGAAGUGCCUUUGAUACUGACAGGCUCGAGGGAGGUAGGGGUAUGUGGAACUUCCGGUGGAGCGGUGAAAUGCGUUGAUAUCGGAAGGAACGCCGGUGGCGAAAGCGACGUACUGGACCUCUCCUGACGCUGAGGAGCGAAAGCAUGGGGAGCGAACAGG
rnacentral:rRNA from 1 species